rnacentral:rRNA from 1 species
UACAGAGGUCCCGAGCGUUGUUCGGAUUCAUUGGGCGUAAAGGGUGCGUAGGCGGCGGGGCAAGUCUGAUGUGAAAUCCCGGGGCUCAACCCCGGAACUGCAUUGGAUACUGCCUUGCUAGAGUACUGGAGAGGGAACUGGAAUUUACGGUGUAGCAGUGAAAUGCGUAGAGAUCGUAAGGUAGGCCAGUGGCGAAGGCGAGUUCCUGGACAGUGACUGACGCUGAGGCACGAAGGCCAGGGGAGCAAACGGG